rnacentral:rRNA from 1 species
AUCAGGGAUCUUGCACAAUGAGCGAAAGCUAGAUGCAGCGAUGCCGCGUGGAUGAGGAAGUCCUUCGGGAUGUAAAGUCCUUUUAAACGGGAAGAUGAUGACGGUACCGUUUGAAUAAGCCCCGGCUAACUACGUGCCAGCAGCCGCGGUAAUACGUAGGGGGCGAGCGUUGUCCGGAAUUAUUGGGCGUAAAGCGCGUGCAGGCGGUUUGAUAAGUUCGUGGUGAAAGACCGGGGCUCAACCCCGGAGCGUCCGCGAAGACUGUCAGACUGGAGUGUCGGAGAGGAGUGCGGAAUUCCUGGUGUAGCGGUGGAAUGCGUAGAGAUCAGGAGGAACACCGAUGGCGAAGGCAGCACUCUGGCCGAAUACUGACGCUGAGACGCGAAAGCGUGGGGAGCGAACGG